GUCACUUACCUUUUUUGAAGAUUCACAAUUUUUUUACCAUGUGAAGUACAUAUAAUUACAACUAACUGUAUAGUUUUUACUUCAACUCAAGUACUUAUUCAUAGAUAUUGAAGAAACUUUUAACAUUCCUUGAAAUUAAAAAAAAAAAAGAAGAACCUUUAACAUUCAAGAAAUGCUAAAGGGCCUUGUAUCAAUGGACAGUGGACAUCGAUUCGAGAAGACUGACUAAAAAUGAAAGAAAUAUGGAGAGUACGAACAAAAAAAGGGACAACCUCAUCUUCAUGGAUGUUGCUUCUUCUUGCUCUAGCAUAUCUCUAAGCACAAGCUUCUAAAUAUUUCCGGUGGAAAUUCUUGAAAGCUCUUCCUUGAAAAUCAAUAUUUGAUACCAUAUAAUAAGUAUGUAACUUAGCUCUGCAAACUCUAUAAUAUCAAUUUUACUUUGGCCUUUGUUUGCCAAAGUAAGAUAACUGUUUUCUAGAUUAAAGUUAAAUGACCA
rnacentral:lncRNA from 1 species